rnacentral:rRNA from 1 species
AACUCAGUGCCAGCAGCCGCGGUAAUACGGAGGAUCCGAGCGUUAUCCGGAUUUAUUGGGUUUAAAGGGAGCGUAGGCGGACGCUUAAGUCAGUUGUGAGAGUUUGCGGCUCAACCGUAAAAUUGCAGUUGAUACUGGGUGUCUUGAGUACAGUAGAGGCAGGCGGAAUUCGUGGUGUAGCGGUGAAAUGCUUAGAUAUCACGAAGAACUCCGAUUGCGAAGGCAGCCUGCUGGACUGUAACUGACGCUGAUGCUCGAAAGUGUGGGUAUCAAACAGGAUUAGAUACCCGUGUAGUCCAA